rnacentral:rRNA from 1 species
GAUGAACGCUGGCGGCGUGCUUAACACAUGCAAGUCGAACGAGAAGUGAAGACGGAAACCUUCGGGCGGACGGCUUUAUUUCGAGUGGCGGACGGGUGAGUCACGCGUGGGUACCCUGCCUCAUACAGGGGGAUAACAGUUGGAAACGCCUGUUAAUACCGCAUCAGACCACCGCACCGCAUGGUGCGGGGGUAAAAACUCCGGUGGUAUGAGUUGGACGCGCGUUCGAUUAGCCAGUUGGCGGGGUAACGGCCCACCAAAGCGACGAUCGAUAGCCGAGCUGAGAGGACGACCGGGCACAUUGGGAGUGAGAGACGGCCCAAACUCCUACGGAAGGCAGCAGUGGGGAAUGUGGCACGAUGGGGGAGAGCCUGAGGCAGCGAGGCCGCGUGAGUGAAGAAGUAUUGCGGUAUGUAAAGCUCUAUCAGCAGGGAAGAAAAUGACGGUACCUGAAGAAGAAGCCCCGGCUAACUACGUG